rnacentral:rRNA from 1 species
UAGGGAAUCUUCGGCAAUGGACGAAAGUCCGACCGAGCAACGCCGCGUGGGUGAAGAAGGUUUUCGGAUCGUAAAACUCUGUUGUUAGAGAAGAACAAGGACGUUAGUAACUGAACGUCCCCUGACGGUAUACAACCAGAAAGCCACGGCUAACAACGUGCCAGCAGCCGCGGUAAUAGGUAGGAGGCAAGCGUUGUCGGGAUUUAUUGGGCGUAAAGCGAGCGCAGGCGGUUUCUUAAGUCUGGUGUGAAAGCCCCCGGCUCAACCGGGGAGGGUCAUUAGAAACUGGGAGACGAGAGUGCAGAAGAGGAGAGUGGAAUUCCGUGUGUAGCGGUGAAAUGCGUAGAUAUAUAGGAGAACACCAGUGGCGAAGGCGGCUCUCUGGUCUGUAUCUGACGCUGAGGCUCGAAAGCGUGGGGAGCAAACAGG